rnacentral:lncRNA from 1 species
CUGCCCGCUAGAUAGGUACACCUUACAAUCAUUCCAUACAACAAAUAUAGUAGACCUAUUGCAUAUAGUAUGAGAAAAACAGACCAAAACACAAAAAUUUAACUAUAACCACUGAACCAUGAAAAUGAGGUCAAGGUCAGAUGACACCUGCCAGUUGGACAUGUACACCUUACAGUCCUUCCAUACACCGAAUAUACUAGCCCUAUUGCUUGUAGUAU